GAUGAACGCUAGCGAUAGGCCUAACACAUGCAAGUCGAGGGGCAUCACAUGAAGUAGCAAUACGGAUGGUGGCGACCGGCGCACGGGUGAGUAACACGUAUGCAACCUGCCUUCAACAAGGGGAUAACCCGUUGAAAGACGGACUAAUACCCUAUAACACAGGGGUCCCGCAUGGGAAUAUUUGUUAAAGGACAACCGGUUGAAGAUGGGCAUGCGUUCCAUUAGCUAGUUGGCGGGGUAACGCCCACCAAGGCAACGAUGGAUAGGGGAACUGAGAGGUUUAUCCCCCACACUGGUACUGAGACACGGACCAGACUCCUACGGGAGGCAGCAGUGAGGAAUAUUGGUCAAUGGACGCAAGUCUGAACCAGCCACGUCGCGUGAAGGAAGACGGCCCUACGGGUUGUAAACUUCUUUUAUACGGGAAUAAAGUGCCCCACGCGUGGGGUUUUGCAUGUACCGUAUGAAUAAGGAUCGGCUAACUCCGUG
rnacentral:rRNA from 1 species